GCUGGCGGCAGCUUACACAUGCCAGUCUCAGCGGAGAUGAAGUGCUUGCACCUUAUCUUAACGGCGGACGAGGUGAAUAAUGCUUAGAAUCUGCCAUUUAGUGGGGGACAACAUUCCGAAAGGAAUGCUAAUACCGCAUACGUCCUACGGGAGAAAGCAGGGAUCUUCGGACCUUGCGCUAAAUGAUGAGCCUAAGAUCGAGAUUAGCUAGUUGUGUGGGGUAAAGUGCCUACCAAGGCGACAGAUCUGUAGCGGGUCUGAGAGGAUGAUCCGCACACUGGGACUUGAGACACUGGCCAGACUCCUACGGGAGUGCAGCAGUGGGGAAUAUUGGACAAUGGGCGGAAGCCUGAUCCAGCCAUGCCGCGUGUGUGAAGAAAGCCUUUUGGUAUGUAAAGCACUUUAAGCGAGGAGGAGAGCUACUCAGUACUAAUACUACUGGAUAGUGGACGUUACUCGCAGAAUAAGCACCGGCUAAACUCUGUGCCAGCAGCCGCGGUAAUACAGAGGGUGCGAGCGUUAAUCGGAUUUACUGGGCGUAAGCGUGCGUAGUGCGGUUAAGUCGGAUGUGAAAUCCCCGAGGCUUAACUUGGGAAUUGC
rnacentral:rRNA from 1 species